GGCGCCUCAGUCCAGGCGGGGGAGAUUUUAAUGAGCAAGGAAACGACCUCAAGCUGAUACACCUAUUUCCUACUUGCACCUUCACCUAGAUAUGUCCUGGCAAUUUCCUUCCUCAGCAACACGCACAAAGAAGUUAUUUACUGGUGUCGCUUUUUCCAAGUAAGAGUGAUACAGAUCUGAUUUCACACUUCCUGCAACAACCCUGUAUGAGGAUAUUGUUCUCGACUUGUUAAAGCAACCUGGCUGUAUGCAUCUGUAGCGCUAUGCUUGCUGAAUUUUGAAAUUUUUUAUUUUUUUUUCGCCCAAGAAAACCGCCAAGGGCUUUUUAGCAUCAGUGUGGAGGAUUUGGUAAGUUUUUAACUCGUUUAAAAAAGAAAAAACAUGACAUCUUUAUGAGUGAAAUUCUUUGGAGUAUGUCCUCAUUGUUCCAAUUUCAGUUUUCAGAAAUAGAGAACAAACUCACGGGUGUUUAUAAUAAGAAGAAAAUGGCAAAAUCCGCUCAGAAAAAAAGUUGUUUACACCUCAAAUGAACUGCAUUUUGUUCCAAUUUCAGCAUGUUCAGUGAGUGGGGAGCAGCGCCCCCUGGUGGUGAUCACUGUAAAAAAAAUAUAAAACAGCUACAUAGAAAACAUUAACCUUCAUAACCACUAUUUUGAUCCAGAAAUACAUGUUGAAAAUGAGCUAACUUUCUCCUCUUGAUCUCCUUCACUUUUCAGUGUUUAAAAGGUUUUCUCCAACUCAAAAUGGCCGAAGGUGGACGGAUGCUGCGGAAGUUCUCCAUCAUCCUCUCCUGCAGAGUCAAUCUUCUGGCCUGAAAGCCCUCGGUUUGUUGACUUGGUGAUGCAGCAGAUGCCCUCAACCAGGAGUUUAGACCACAAAGAAAGUUCCAUGGAAGGAAAAACUACUUGGAAAAGU